CAUGCAAGUCGAGCGGUAACAGACAUAAAGAUUCAGCUUGCUGAAUCCGGUGCUGACGAGCGGCGAACGGGUGAGUAACGCGUAGGAAUCUACCCAGUAGCGGGGGAUAGCCCGAGGAAACUCGGAUUAAUACCGCAUACGCCCUGAGGGGGAAAGGGGGCAGUUUACUGCUCUCACUAUUGGAUGAGCCUGCGUAAGAUUAGCUUGUUGGUGGGGUAAUGGCCUACCAAGGCGACGAUCUUUAGCUGGUCUGAGAGGACGAUCAGCCACAUUGGGACUGAGACACGGCCCAGACAUCUACGGAUGGCAGCAGUUAAGAAUAUUGGACAAUGGGGGCAACCCUGAUCCAGGUAUACCGCGUGUGUGAAGAAGGCCCUAGGGUUGUAAAGCACUUUAAUCAGAGAAGAAGCAGUUUAAGUUAAUACCUUAAUCUGUUGACGUUACCUGAAGAAUAAGGACCGGCUAACUCCGUGCCAGCAGCCGCGGUAAUACGGAGGGUCCAAGCGUUAAUCGGAAUUACUGGGCGUAAAGCGCGCGUAGGCGGUUUAGCAAGUUGCAUGUGAAAGCCCUGGGCUCAACCUAGGAACUGCAUUCAAAACUACUAAGCUAGAGUACGAGAGAGGAGAGUAGAAUUUCUGGUGUAGCGGUGAAAUGCGUAGAUAUCAGAAGGAAUACCAAUGGCGAAGGCAGCUCUCUGGCUCGUCACUGACGCUGAGGUGCGAAAGCGUGGGUAGCAAACAGGAUUAGAUACCCUGGUAGUCCACGCCGUAAACGAUGAGAACUAGCCGUUGGGCAGAUUUAACUGUUCAGUGGCACAGCUAACGCAUUAAGUUCUCCGCCU
rnacentral:rRNA from 1 species